UUGUCAUGGGGACGGCGGCGUAGGCAGGCGCUGGCGUCAGCGGGCGGUGCGCUGCCCGCACUGCGGCAGCUGACCUGCUCUCAGAACCUGGGCAGCUGGCAGCUGUGGUGGCUACGCGGUCGCCUUCCUCACGGCCCGCCCCGCCUCGCGCGGGGAGCUUCUGCGCACGGCCUCCGGCGCCUGCGCUGGCGGGACGGGCUGUCGGCCGCUCUGCGCUGUCCUCUGCAAACAAGAAUCAUCGUUGACUCUUUGUCCUGCUUCUUCAGUAGUUUUUAUUUAAUCGGCCUAAAAUGUCUAAAAUGUCAUACAUUUUCUGCUCAGAGGAAAAGAGAGAUUAAGCUAAAUAUAAUAUCUCUUCUCAGGCUUUUAUUAUAGUUGGGUUAAAAAUACCAAAAUACUCUUAAUACCAGAGAAACCUGAAUGUGGGUCCCCAGGGAUCUGGAGCUUUAGCUGAUAAUUGCUGAGGCAACUCAAUGAUUCUGAUUACAACUCAGUGCUCUCCAUAAAGCCGAGAUAUGCCCACUGUUGAGAGUGAAGCCAAGGUAAAUACGGAAGUUUGCUUUGAGGAACCACUUAAGACCCACAAUGAUCUAAUAUGUGAAAGAAAAAAACUGAAGAAAAAAAUUGUCAAAUCUGGAGAAAAAAUCUCACUUGACACUGUUAGAUGCAAUCUUCAGAAAACUAAAGAAACUAAAAGUGGUGAUGUAAGUGCUACUAACAGUAGUAAACCAGAGAAGAGUAUGCCAGUCACUAAAAACAAACUAAAAAAUCCAGAUGAUGAUGUUAGUGUAGAGGAAGACAAGCAAGAAAAGACAAAUAAAAAGGUUAUAAAAACAGUGCUCCAGGUGACUGCACAAGAAAUGGAACUGGAAACUCCUGAGAAGGUGGAUUCUACACAUCAGAAAGCACGAACAAAGUCACAGCCAGGUGUUGCUCAUCAGAAAAGAGAGAAGGCAAAUGAAGAAAGGGAAAAUAAUAAUUUAGAUGAGGAAGAAGAGCUGAUGCAAGCAUACCAACUCCAAGUAGCAGAAGAAAUGGCAAAGGAGUUUAAGAAGAAAAUAAGAAAGAAACUCAAAGAACAGUUGACUUACUUUCACUCAGAUGCUUCAUUGCAUGACAACAAAUUCAGCAGUGAAAAAAGAAAAAAGAAAAAAAAAGUUCCAAUCCUGUCUAAAGCUGAAACAAGUACAUUGAACAUCUCUGAUAACAAAGUUGAAGGUGAACAAAAGAAAGAAUCUCCAGUUGAAGCAGUUACUUCAGAUUCUCAUCAAAAAGAUGAAUUAUGCUCAAUGGAACAAAGUACAGACGACAGCAUGCAAGAUGACACAAAAUCCAAACCAAAAAAGAAAGAGAAGGCUAAAGCAGAUGAUAAUGAAGACACUGACGGUGAUGGUGUUCAUGAAGUUACAAACCGAGAUAGUCCAGUUUAUCCCAAAUGUUUACUCGAUGAUGACCUUGUCCUGGGAGUUUACAUUCACCGAACUGAUAGACUUAAGUCAAAUUUUAUGAUUUCUCAUCCGAUGGUAAAAAUUCAUGUGGUUGAUGAGAAUACUGGUCAAUAUGUCAAGAAAGAUGAUAGUGAACGCCCUGUUUCUUCUUAUUAUGAGAAAGAAACUGUGGAUUAUAUUCUUCCUAUUAUGACCCAGCCAUAUGAUUUUAAACAGUUAAAAUCAAGACUUCCAGAGUGGGAAGAACAAAUUAUAUUUAAUGAAAACUUUCCUUAUUUGCUUCGAGAUUUUGAUGAAAGUCCUAAAGUCAUUCUGUUCUUUGAGAUUCUUGACUUCUUAAGCAUGGAUGAAAUUAAGAAUAACACUGAAGUUCAAAACCAAGAAUGUGGCUUUCGAAAAAUUGCCUGGGCAUUUCUCAAGCUUCUAGGAGCUAAUGGGAAUGUAAACAUCAAUUCAAAACUUCGCCUACAGCUGUAUUACCCACCUUCUAAACCUCGAUCCCAAUUAAAUGUUGUUGAGGUUUUUGAAUGGUGGUCAAAAUGUCCAAGAAAUCGUUAUCCAUCAACAUUGUAUGUAACUGUAAGAGGACUGAAAGUUCCUGAAUGUAUAAAGCCAUCUUACCGUUCUAUGAUGGCUCUUCAGGAGGAAAAAGGUAAACCAGUGUAUUGUGAACGACAUUGUGAACCAAGUUCAACAGAUACAGAACCUGGACUGGAAGAUUCAAAGGAAGUAGUAAAUUGGAAACGACUGCCUGGGCAGGCCUGUCGUAUUCCAAACAAGCACCUCUUCUCACUAAAUGCAGGAGAAAGAGGAUGUUUUUGUCUUGCUUUCUCUCACAAUGGAAGAAUAUUAGCAGCAGCCUGUGCCAGCCGGGAUGGAUAUCCAAUUAUUUUAUAUGAAAUUCCUUCUGGGCGUUUCAUGAGAGAAUUGUGUGGCCACCUCAAUAUCAUUUAUGAUCUUUGCUGGUCAAAAGAUGAUCGUUAUAUCCUUACUUCAUCAUCUGAUGGAACUGCCAGGAUAUGGAAAAAUGAAAUAAAUAAUACAAAUACUUCAAGAGUUUUACCUCAUCCUUCUUUUGUUUACACUGCUAAAUUCCAUCCUGCUGUAAAAGAGCUGGUGGUUACAGGAUGCUAUGAUUCUGUUAUACGGAUAUGGAAAGUGGAUAUGAGAGAGGAUCCAGCCAUACUGAUCCGACAGUUUGACACUCACAGGAGUUUCAUCAACUCUCUCUGUUUUGAUAUCGAAGGUCAUCACAUGUAUUCAGGAGACUGCACAGGGGUGAUUGUUGUUUGGAAUACCUAUGUUAAGGUUAAUGAUGUGCAACAUUCAGUGCACCACUGGAGUGUUAAUAAGGAAAUUAAAGAGAGUGAGUUUAAGGGGAUUCCAAUAAGUUAUUUGGAGGUUCAUCCCAAUGGAAAACGUUUGUUAAUCCAUACAAAAGACAGUACUUUGAGAAUUAUGGAUCUCCGAAUAUUAGCAGCAAGGAAAUUUGUAGGUGCAGCAAAUUAUCGGGAAAAGAUUCAUAGUACUUUGACACCAUGUGGGACUUUUCUCUUUGCUGGAAGUGAGGAUGGUAUAGUAUAUGUUUGGAACCCAGAAACAGGAGAACAAGUAGCAAUGUAUUCUGACCUGCCAUUCAAGUCACCCAUUCGAGACAUUUCUUACCAUCCACUUGAAAAUAUGGUUGCAUUUUGUGCAUUUGGGCAGAAUGAACCAAUUCUUCUAUAUAUUUAUGAUUUCCGUGUUGCCCAGCAGGAGGCUGAAAUGUUCAAACGCUACAAUGGAACAUUUCCAUUGCCUGGAAUACAUCAAAGUCAGGAUGCUUUAUGCACCUGUCCUAAACUGCCUCAUCAAGGCUCUUUUCAUAUUGAGGACUAUGUCCACACUGACAAUUCUUCAGUGAAGAUGCAGCAAGUGAAACAGAGGCUCGAUUCUGUCACAGAGGUGAUACGAGCCUGUGCUGCAAAGGUUAACAAAAAUCUCUCAUUUACUUCAACAUCAGCUUCCUCACAACAGUCUAAGUUAAAACAGGCAAACAUGCUGGCUGCUCAUCAGAUUCUACAUCCGUUUGGUUUCACUCAGACCGGGAUUGUCAGCAAAGAAAGAAAGCCUUGUAACCAUCACAUAGAUACAGCACCAACGGUAGUGGCUCUUUAUGACUACACAGCGAAUCGAUCAGAUGAACUCACCAUCCAUCGCGGAGACAUUAUCCGAGUGUUUUUCAAAGAUAAUGAAGACUGGUGGUAUGGCAGCAUAGGAAAGGGACAGGAAGGUUAUUUUCCAGCUAAUCAUGUGGCUAGUGAAACACUGUAUCAAGAACUGCCUCCAGAGAUAAAGGAGCGAUCCCCUCCUUUAACCCCCAAGGAAAAAACCAAAAUGGAAAAACCUUUUUCAGCUUUUCAAAAGCAGUCAGUCACUAAGGACAAGUCCCAGGAUUUCAGACAGGGCUCAGAGUCUAUGACACAGCCUCGCUCUUCCCUAAGACACAAUAUUGAAAUAAGGCCAAUUAACAACCUUUUAAUGGCCUCUAAGUGUUCAAGUGAAAGGAAGAGUCAGAUGUCUCUCACUGUAAAUCAAAAGCUCUAAAUGAUUAAGCCUAGUGAAGAAGGUGUAUCCCAAGCCAAGAUAGGCCAAAAGCUGUAUCUCUUGUGCCAAGCAGUAAGCCAAGUUCUUGAAGGCAAUUAAAAGUGCUGCUCCAAUGAACACAGGAAUGAUAAGAAAGCAAAACAGCCUUAUUGCUGAUAUGAAGAAAGUUUUAGUGGUCUGAAUAGAAGAUUAAACUAGCCACAACAUUCCCUUAGGCCAAAGCCUAAUCCAGAGCAAGGUCCUAACUCUCUUCAGUCUUAUGAAAGCUGAGAGAGGGGAGGAAGCUGCAGAAGAAGAGUUUGAAGCUAGCAAAGGGUGGUUCAUGAGGGUUAAGGAAAGAAGCUGUCUUCAUAACAGAAGAGCACAAGACAAAGCAGCAAGUGAUACAGAAUCUGAAGCAAGUUCUCCAGAGAUCUAGCUAAGAUCAUUAAUGAAGGUGGCUACACUAAACAACAGCUUUUCAAUGUAGUUGAAACAGCCUUCUAUUGGAAGAAGAUGCCAUCUAGAACUUUCAUAGCUACUGAGAAGUCAGUGUCUUCAAAGCUUCAAGGACAGGCCAACUCUUGUUAGGAAUUAAUGCAGUUGGUAGCUUUAAGUUGAAGCCAAUAAUCAUUUGCUGUUCUGAAAAUCCUAGGGCCCUUAAGAAUUCUGCUAAAUCUACUCUCCCUGUGCUCUGUAAAUGGAACAACAUAGCUUGGAUUGACAACAUGGGUUAACUGAAUAUUUUAAGCCCAUUGUUGAGACUUACUGCAGAGAAAAAAAAAAUUACAUUCAAAAUAUUACUGCUCACUGACAAUGCACCUGAUCACCCAAGAGCUCUGAUGAAGAUGGACAAGAUUCAUGUUUUUUUCAUGUCUGCUAGCAGAACAUCCAUUCUGCAGGCUUGGGUCAAACAGUAAUUUCAACUUUCAAGUCUUGCUAUUUAACAAAUACAUUUUAUAAAACUAUAACUGCCAUAGAUAGUGAUUCCUCUGAUGGAUCUGGGCAGAGUAAAUUGAAAACCUUCUGGAAAGGAUUCAGCAUUCUAGAUGCCAUUAAGAACAUUUGUGAUUCAUGGAAAAAGGUCAAAACAUCAACAUUAACAAGUUUGAAAGAAAUUGAUUCCAACCCUCAUGGAUGACAUUGAGGGCUCAGAAGUGGAGGAAGUUAACUAUAGAUGUGGUGGAGGAAACAGCAUGAGAAUUAGAAUUAGAAGUGGAGUCUGAAGCUGUGACUUAAUUGCUGCAUCUCAUGAUAAAACUUGAAUGGAUAAGGAGUUCCUUCUCAUGGAUGAAUAAAGACUGAUUUCUUGAGAUGGAAUAUACUCCUGGUGAAGGUGCUGUGAAGAGUGAAAUGAAAGAAAGGAUUUCAAAUAUUCCAUAAACUUAGUUGAUAAAGCAAUGGCAGAGUUUAAGAACACUGACUCCAAUUUUGAAAGUUCUGCUGUGGAUAAAAUGCUGUCAAACAACAUCGCAUGCUAUAGAGAAAUCAUGAAAGGAAGAGUCAGUCGAUGUGGCAAAGUCAUUGUUACAUUAUUUUAAGAAAAUGCCACAGCCACCCCAGUUUUCAGGAAACACAACCCUGAUAAGUCAGCAGGCAACAUCAAGGCAAGACCCUCCAGCAGCAAAAAGAAAGCCCAAGUGAUGGUUAGAAUAUUUUAGCAAUAAAGUAUUUUAAUUAAGUAAAAAGUUGAAGAAAGAAGAGACAAAGAAACAAAUACACAGAAAUGAAGUAAAUUAAACCAAAUGGCAUUUCCUUCAGAGUUCAGAAUUUUCAGAUACUACGAAAGAAAGGAUCCACUACUUCUUAUGAAAAUCUAAAAAUGUCAGAAGCGAGGUACGGGUGGAAAAAUUUUUAAAUGUGGCCUUUUGAGCUUAAUUGUUAUAAACCAUUGUGAUAGUUGUUGAUCAAAGUAUUGGUACUUGUAUUUAUUAGUAAUUGCAUCAAAAUGAUUAUUACCACUGUUGGAAAACCAAUAAAGAAACAACCAUAAUUGCUAGUGAGCAAAUGUGAGUAAAAAGUGUUUACAUUGUCAGGAUGUCUGUUAAGUAAUCAAUUAAUAUUAUUAUAUCUUUAAUGUGGUUAUAUGUAUAAUGUCAUGCACAGACUAUGAAAUAUCUGCUUUUGAAAUUUAACUUUAUUUAAAAGCUAAGCUGCUUCAGAAUAUUAUGUAUUCAAAAUGGUCCCAGUAAGAAAGGCAUUAAAAGGGAACAAAUUUGUUUGUUUUGAGUGAAUCAUAUAUGUAACGUGAUACACAUAGAGUAAAAAUGGCUUUUAGCUAGAUAGGCAACAGUAUUACAAGUUACUUUACAUUUUAAAAGAGCAUUUCAUAUUUAAGCAAGUAAUUGAUUUGUGGACUUAAAUUGUUCAGUACUUAUGUUAGUCUUAAUAUUUGUUUUAAGUUAUUACAUUGCAUUAUUUAUUUAGUUCCAGAAAAUGGUGUUAUUACUAUGUGACUAUUUUAAAAUGUGGUGUUACAAUCAUUUCUUUUUUUCUUGACUCUUCUCAGCUAUGUGAUUAUAAGACUGUCAGCAAAAUAUUUAAGCCCACAAAGGUCAAAACUAAUAUAAAAUUAGAAAACUUAUUUACAAAGUUAGACAAUUGAUUCCAUUAAAAUAAGAAGUGAGAAAAACUGUGUUGGGCAUUGAGGUGUAAAUUUUGCCCAGAUGUGUACCCGACGUGAAAUAUCUUCUAGUAAAAAUAUAUUUGGCUCUUCUCCCUACACAUGUUAGAGAAGCAUGAAAAUUGGUAAACAUGCCCAUCCUGCUGUGUAGAACCUAAAGGGAGGGUGUCAGGAGGGGGGACAUUUUUCUAGUGGUGAGUGGCCAGGAUGACUGCAGAAGCCCUCAGCAAUCUGCAUAGAGAUCUGUUCUGAUCACUCUGAGCCACUGUUGAUUUAGAGGCAGACAUCUGUUCUUCAGGUACAGUUGGACCCAGCCAGCUUGAGUCACCCUUGUACAAGCUUCUUUUUUUGUCUUGUGAAUGCACUUGACAAUUAAAAAAUAAAAAUAUGCAUCUCUCUGCAGUUUCAGCUCAUAGUUUUGAGAUGUGUGUUGAUUCUCUGAUUUUGAUUGUAAUCACAAAGAAUUUAAACAAGCUGCAGAAAGAUUUUAAAUCAAGACAAGUGAAAUAAUAUGUCAGGGGAGCUAAACACUUGCUGAAAUUGUAAUGCUCAUAUGAAAAAUAAAGGAUUAUUUUUACAGUGCAACUACUAAAGCCAAAAUUAACCAUAGAGACAAGCACCAGGAAAAGUUGGUUCUACUCAAAGCCCAGUCCUUUUCUCCUUUGUCCUGAUGACAAAGCAAGACUUAGGUUAUGUUCACAAAUACGUUAAUAUAAUGUCUUGACCACACUCUCUGAGAUGAGAUACGGUGAGGGAGAUCAUAAAAAGUGACCUCAGAAUAGUAAAUCCAAAUUUUAAUCAAGCAGGGAAAUGAGAUGCAAGACAUAUGAAAUUUUCUGAUAUUACACAUUUUUUAGUAACAGAUUAUUAGUUUUGUUUUGUUUUCAUUCUGAAAUUCCUGAAGUUUAUCCCAUUUUAUAAAGUCUCUUUUAUCCAAGCAAAUAAUUUGAAGCUAUCCUUUUCUGUAUCUAAAUAAUAUUAUUACACCAUUCUUAGAAAUUUGUUUCCUGAUUACUGAUUCUACUCUCUUGAACAAUAAAAUUUCUUCAAUACCAAAACUAUACAAUGAAUAAAGUUUACAAAGCUAGAAUAAAAAUCAAGUUUUUAAAAGAGUUAAAGCAUUAAAUAUUUUAUACUGUGAAUGCAAAUUUAUGUUUAAAAUACACAUUUUAAAUGAAAUCAGUAUUUUUAUGGCCAACACUUGGCACUUUUGAAAUUAUAAGGUUUCUUUACAUAAAAAUGAGUACUUAACCUUAAUUUUAUUUUCAAGUUACUAAAAAAGUUUUAUUAAAAAAAAGACAUUUUCUCUUUCAGAAGUUCAGAAAGACAGUAUCUGAGAAGUAACUUACUAUUUUAUACCAUUAUCUGACACGUCACUUCAGUCAAAUUUUUACAUCACAGAUAUUUCUACUGCUGUUAGAAAGUUCUAGAAACUAACAAAAAUUCAUGACCUUACACUUUUACACAUAUUUAAAUGAUUUCCAUCUGAAGGUCAUAUCUGUGAAUUAUGGGAACAUUUGUCAACAAUCUAUUUUAAAGUUUAUAUUUGUUGAUUUCUACCUUGUUGAACUUGGAAAAAUAUUCCCCAAACCUUCACUUUAUGUACAUGACCUCAUUUACUCUUCACAUCAAACCCAUGAGGUAGAUAAAAUCUUCCCUACCCUGCAAAUAAGGAAAGCAAGGCCUUGAAGGUUAAGUAACUUGUCCAAAUGUAUAUGACCAAUAAAUUAUGUCAGUGCUAGCUAUAAAUGUAAGUUUGUCAGACUCCACUGGGAGGUCUCUGAAGUGCUGGAACCCAGUUGCUGUGUAUAGUGAGCCAGUAAAUGCUUAUUGUCAGAGAGUCUAACACCCACUAGAGUAAAGCAACAUGAAUGUAUUUCCAGUCACAUUCAGGAACUAGAAACAUCUAAUAUGUCUUAAAUGCACAGUGACCUAAAUAAAAUGAAAUGUAUCUAAGUGAAAAAUUCUUUAAAAAUUGAUAAUUUGUUUAUCCCAUAAUUGCUCUGAUAAAUCUUUACUUUGU